rnacentral:lncRNA from 1 species
CUUGCCAAGGUCAGGCAUUUAUCUGCUAUUAAGCCAGCACCCAUCAGGAUAACAACUAAUUGAAACCAAAGGGACCACUCACAGCGUAAGAUACCAGGCAACGAACUGGUUUUUCAUUACUGUAAACUGCUUUAGGAACCCUGAUGAAGCACUCUCUCCAUCAGAUGCAUUUGUUACACGCCAGCUUGAAGGUAUCUUACGUCCAGUGGAAAUACCUGAUCUUGCAUAAACCUGUCCUGGACACGUCUGCCUCCACCAAGGCUACAGGCAGUGCCUGCUAAGAGUGUCGUAUUUGGUGAAACAACUGGAGAGGAGGUGAUGACUGCUACUCUUUGAGCAAGGAAAGCAUCUUCCUUCCUGUAUCCCCCGAUUCAGAUGUGUGAUGGUGCUCCCUCCUUUGGUGCACAGCAUUGUCACC